GGAAGGAUCAUUGCCAAAACAAAAAACCUUUUAAGAGGAAAGUCAAGAUUUGUUUCUUUUCUUUCUUUUUGAAAUUCCCCAAAUCAUGUGAACCCUUAAAAAAGAGUUUAGUUUGUGUAGAGGGAAAAAGAGAAAAAGGAAGGAACUCUUGAGAUGGAAAGUUUAUUUCCUUUUCAACCUUUUAUUUCUCUUUCUCCUCUCUCUCACACGACUUGGCCUUUUUUUGUUUUUAUAACAAAACCCAAUGUCUUUCAUUUUAUUUUCUUGUAUUACGAUGAGUUGUGCAUAUACACUAAUUAGUAUAUAUAUAUAUUCUUAUGACUUGUGUGUGCACACUCUCAAAAAAAAUCAUACAACUUUUAACAAUGGAUCUCUUGGCUCUCGCAACGAUGAAGAACGCAGCGAAAUGCGAUACGUCAUGUGAAUUGCAUAACGUGAAUCAUUGAAUUUUCGAACGCAAAUGGCACCUUUGACUUAGACUCGAAGGUAUGCCUGUUUGAGUAUCCGUUUUCCUACCUGUCAAAAAAAAAGAUGGUCAUCUCUUUUUUGGAAUUGAGUAUUUCACAUGUUCUUUCCUCUCCUCUUUCUCGUUUCUAAUUUUAGAAACGGGUGUGUGGGGUGGUAGAGAAGGUGUGAUACUUUGAUUGGAGACAAACAGUGUCUUUUUUUAGAAAUUUCUUGGAGAGAGAGAAAAGAGAGAGAGAAAAAGUGUAUAGGAACCAGGGAAAAAAAGGGGUCACUAUGAUUCCUUCUUCUUUCUUUGUUCCUAUGCUAAUUCUCUGUUGUCUCUUCUUCUUUCUCUCUACAACUCUUCUUCUGUGUUUCUUUUCUCUAAGAAACGACAAGAAAGGAAAAAAGUGUCUUUGUGGUUUUCUUUAUCCAAUUCAAUUCCUUUCCAUAGUGUGGUGACGUGAUGUAACUUUUAUAACACGAGAAAUCACUUUGGAGGAAGGAUAAAAAAAUGCAAUGACAUUCAUUUCUUGUUUUAGGAGAGGAGGAAAGAAAGGAGAAAGGGAAGAGUCAAGGAGUUGUUGUUGUUGCUGCUCUGUAUUUGUGUGGUGUGUGAGUGAGAGAGAAAAAGGAGAGAGGGAGGGAUUGGUCUCUUUCUGUGGUGUUGCAAAAUGCAAAAACCCAGGAAAAAACCUUUUCCUUUUCUCUUCUCUCUUCUCAUUCAUCAUCACCUCUAUACCACUUAUACAGAGUAACAACAACGGCAACUACUCGAUCACUUUUCCUUCCCAUUUUUCUCUUAACUGAGAAGAAAAGGAACUUUGUUUCCUUUCUUUUGUUGAAAUUGUUUUCAUCUUCUCAAUGGAAAAGGAAGAGGGGGGAAAGAGAAGGAGCAAGUUGCUCUCUCUCUUUUAUAUAACCCUCUCUUCUCUUUUCAAAAGAGAUGAGAAAGACUUUUUACUGUAAAAAAACGCGUGUGAGAUAUGAUGUAGCACUUAUUUGUGCUACAUAUAUAUAUAUCUCUAUUCUAAUAUAUAAUAUAUCACAUUUGGAUCUCAAAUCAGGCAAGAUUACCCGCCGAACUUAAGCAUAUUACUAAGCGGAGGAAAGAAACUAACAAGGAUUCCCUCAGUAGCGGCGAGUGAAGUGGGAAAAGCUCAAAUUUAAAAUCUUUAGAUUCUUAAAAGGAAUUCAAAGAGUUGUAAUCUAGAGAAGGUAGAAUCCUGUCAACCCAUUCAAAUAGAAGUUCUUUGGAACAAGACAUCGUAGAGGGUGAGAAUCCCGUCUGUGAUUUGAAUGAACCAAAUUAAUUAGUGUUGACUUUAUGGUGAUCUAUCUUCAAAGAGUCGGGUUGUUUGGGAAUGCAGCCCAAAAUGGGUGGUAAAUUUCAUCUAAGCUAAAUAAUGGCGAGAGACCGAUAGCGAACAAGUACCGUGAGGGAAAGAUGAAAAGAACUUUGAAGAGAGAGUUAAAAGUACGUGAAAUUGUUAAAAGGGAAGCGAUUGAAACCAGUGCUGUGUCACUUGAAACAUCAAUGAAGUCAUGUUUAGUUAGUGUUUCAGGACGUGCUAUGAAAUGCUUUCAAAACUUUCAUAAACAUGUUCUGAAAAAUUAAACGCUAUCUUCAUGCACUGUUUUAAGGUUUUGUAAAAGAAUUUAGACAGGUCAACCUCAGUUUCUUUUUUGUGUCGGAAAAAUAUUUAAAGGAAGGUAUCAUUGACUUUUUUAAAGUUGAUGAACUUAUAGCUUUUAAACUUUUUGAAUACGAUGCAAGAGACUGAUAAAAACUUCUCUCCAAUUAUAAACCUUCCUAGGAUUAAGUUCUUGAUGUGUCUACGUGAAACAUGUUUUAUCCUACGGGAUCAUGAUUCAUGAUAGUACAGUUAGUCUAGACACGAAUUCUUUUGAAGUUGUUUUAUAAUUUUGAAAAAAAAGUGUUGACAAAAUGGUUUUAACCGACCCGUCUUGAAACACGGACCAAGGAGUCUAACAUUUAUGCGAGUAAUCGAGUGAUUUAAACUUGAAUGCGUAAUGAAAGUGAACGUGGGUGGGAUCUUUUUUUCUUUCGAGAAAGAGAGUGCACCAUCGACCGAUCGGAAUACUUUCUAACGAAAGUUGAACGAAUCGAGUUAGAGCAUAACUGUUGGGACCCGAAAGAUGGUGAACUAUGCCUGAGUAGGGUGAAGCCAGAGGAAACUCUGGUGGAGGCUCGUAGCGAUACUGACGUGCAAAUCGUUCGUCAAACUUGGGUAUAGGGGCGAAAGACUAAUCGAACCAUCUAGUAGCUGGUUCCCUC
rnacentral:misc_RNA from 1 species